AGCCUAAACUCGAACAAACGAGCAUGGCAAAAAUCCAUCCCUGGCAUUAAGCUCCUCGUCUGAGCACCAGGGAUGGUCAUAUCUCGAAAGGGAUAUGGGUGGCCGAAAGGCUAUC
rnacentral:sRNA from 12 species